rnacentral:lncRNA from 1 species
UUUUUGGUUUUAUCAUCCUGGAGGUUAAAAAACAGUCUAGACAGUAGGAUAAACAAAUAAAAGUAGGUAGUAAUCAAGACUGAUUUCAUCAGGAAUGUCUCUUUUAAUUCUAGUCUACUCCUUUAGCAUGCGCACUUACUUUAUAAAUUGUGUAAUUGAAUAUCCUUACUAAUGCUAUAACUGAACAUAUUAAUAAAGCCUUAUUACUUCAUCUUAGUGAUGGACUAAUUAUAUCUGAACACUAAUGAAUACCGUAACUUUUCGCACACUGUGGGGAAAAACAAACUGAAUGGAAAAUGUUUCCAACACAGGAGAUAAGUAAGAUGGCACCUAUUCAUUGAAGACAUUUAUACUGUAACGCUGGAGUGUGCUGCUCAAAAACAACAGAUACAAAAGCAAAGAGAGGGAAUAAGCUUAUAGAGUUAAAAAUUACCCUGGCAGAGACUUAUUUGA